CAGCACUCCAGAUGUUUUGGACUACACCUCCCAUGAUGCUUUGCCAGCAUUAUGGGGGAUGUAGUCCACAACAUCUGGAGUGCCG